rnacentral:tRNA from 1 species
GGAGUUGUGGCUCAGUGGUAGAGUGCUUGCCUGGCUUGUGUGAGGAGGUACUGGGUUCUGAGUUCAAUCCUCAGAACCACA